CUGCUUUUGACAGGGAAGAAUAAGCUGAACGUGUUCAGUGAUGACGGUACCUGCAGAAUAAGCACCGGCUAACUCUGUGCCAGCAGCCGCGGUAAUACAGAGGGUGCGAGCGUUAAUCGGAAUUACUGGGCGUAAAGCGAGUGUAGGUGGCUCAUUAAGUCACAUGUGAAAUCCCCGGGCUUAACCUGGGAACUGCAUGUGAUACUGGUGGUGCUAGAAUAUGUGAGAGGGAAGUAGAAUUCCAGGUGUAGCGGUGAAAUGCGUAGAGAUCUGGAGGAAUACCGAUGGCGAAGGCAGCUUCCUGGCAUAAUAUUGACACUGAGAUUCGAAAGCGUGGGUAGCAAACAGGAUUAGAUACCCUGGUAGUCCACGCCGUAAACGAUGUCUACUAGCCGUUGGGGUCCUUGAGACUUUAGUGGCGCAGUUAACGCGAUAAGUAGACCGCCUGGGGAGUACGGCCGCAAGGUUAAAACUCAAAUGAAUUGACGGGGGCCCGCACAAGCGGUGGAGCAUGUGGUUUAAUUCGAUGCAACGCGAAGAACCUUACCUGGUCUUGACAUAGUGAGAAUCCUGCAGAGAUGCGGGAGUGCCUUCGGGAAUUCACAUACAGGUGCUGCAUGGCUGUCGUCAGCUCGUGUCGUGAGAUGUUGGGUUAAGUCCCGCAACGAGCGCAACCCUUUUCCUUAUUUGCCAGCGGGUUAAGCCGGGAACUUUAAGGAUACUGCCAGUGACAAACUGGAGGAAGGCGGGGACGACGUCAAGUCAUCAUGGCCCUUACGACCAGGGCUACACACGUGCUACAAUGGCGCAUACAAAGAGAAGCGACCUCGCGAGAGCAAGCGGACCUCA
rnacentral:rRNA from 1 species